AAGGAAGCCUCAGCAGGAGCAGUCCCAUAGGAGAGGACGCGAGUGGGAGCAGUCAGGAUUUUUGAGGGUGAGCCGCCUGAGGAUUUUUGCAACGAAUGCUUCGGAAAAAUUGAAACGAUU
rnacentral:ribozyme from 1 species